rnacentral:rRNA from 1 species
GAUGAACGCUGGCGGCGUGCUUAACACAUGCAAGUCGAGCGGGCAAUUUAUCUAGCACUGAUUACUUCAAAUGGAAAUCAUAAGUGUAAUCAUGAAUUUCUACCUUUAAUAAAGAAAAAAGAAAUUCAUGUACGCAAAUAGUGAUAACACAUUUUAGUGAAGUGAUGAGUGCUGGAUAAAUUGCUAGCGGCGGACGGGUGCGUAACACGUGGGUAACCUGCCCCUAUCACUGGGAUAACACACUGAAAAGUGUGCUAAUACCAGAUAAUAUAAGCUUUUGGCAUCAUUAGCUUAUCAAAGAAUUUCGGAUAGGGAUGGGCCCGCGUCUGAUUAGCUAGUUGGUGAGGUAACGGCUCACCAAGGCAACGAUCAGUAGCCGACCUGAGAGGGUGAUCGGCCACACUGGAACUGAGACACGGACCAGACUCCUACGGGAGGCAGCAGUGAGGAAUAUUGGUCAAUGGACGCAAGUCUGAA